rnacentral:lncRNA from 1 species
AAUAGUUUAGCUUUUCGGGUAUCAAAUCGACUAAAGAUCCUUCACCCUAUUCCCUAUCAUAGGAUUGAAGUCUAAAUAAAUAAUAAUACGGUAUUUGUGCAAAUUAAAUAAAUGUAUAUAAUUAUUUACAGAUUGGUAAUAGAGCCCGAACCGAAAAUUGUUCUCUGUUAAUUUCUGUUAAUUUAUUUUACAGUCUAAAAGUAUGAUGGUAUCUUGUUUAUCAAUUUCAUGGUUUGAAUGCAUGAAUUGAUGCCUUACGUGAUUAUUGUUCGAUUGGGAAAUUGAGAUAUGAUUGCAUUCCCUUAUGCAUGUUUGUUUGCUUAUGUGAUCAUAGUUGAUUUGGAAAAUAGAGACUAAAAGAAAACAGAAAAGUUGUGUGAUUAAAUAAACAGAUGGAACGGCAGCCUUUCUAGAUAUCCUAGGAGAUGGUGGAUAGACCGGGUAUAUAAGGAAUCCUACCGUAAACAUUAUCUCAUAC